AUUGAACGCUGGCGGCAGGCUUAACACAUGCAAGUCGAGCGAGCGGCGGACGGGUGAGUAAUGUCUGGGAAACUGCCUGAUGGAGGGGGAUAACUACUGGAAACGGUAGAUAAUAACGCAUACCAUCAGAUGUGCACAGAUGUGAUUAGCUAGUAGGGGGGGUAAUGGCUCACCUAGGCGACGAUCCCUAGCUGGUCUGAUAGGAUGACCAGCCACACUGGAACUGAGACACGGUCCAGACUCCUACGGGAGUCAGCAGUGGGGAAUAUUGCACAAUGUGCUAAAGCCUGAUGCAGCCAGGCCGCGUGUGUGAAGAAGGCCUUCGGGUUUUAAAGCACUGUCAGCGAGGAGGCGUUACUCGCAGAAGAAGCACCGGCUAACUCCGUGCCAGCAGCCGCGGUAAUAC
rnacentral:rRNA from 1 species